GUACCUGCUUUAAAGUCUAAAAAAGUCUCUAAAAGUUUUUAAUUUGUCUUCAUUAGUAUUGCCACAAAAAAACUGUAUUAAUAUUUGUCUUUUAUUCACAGUCUUUCUUUCUUUCUUUUUUUUUAAAGCUUUCCUCAUGUUUUCCAUUCAAAGGGACCGGCCAGUUGAAAUGUCACAACCACAAAACCACUAUUUAUGUAACUUUACUGUGAUAUUUCCUACAUAAUUUUGAAUAGUCUUUUGCAUCAACCAGGGACUAUUUUGAGGCAGUGGCAUCAACAACAGUUCCUAAUACCAGUCCCUGCAGUCUUGUAGAACCACCGUAAAAACAAGGGGAUGGUUUACACUUACACAACGUUUCUUAGCAAAAAUAUUUGUACUGAAGAAAUGAUUAGUCCAUAAAAAAAAGAACUUCCAGUAAUCUCCGUAAGAGUUGUUUUCAUAACUUUAUAAUUCUGUUUGAAAUGAUCCCUUUUUAUUUAACCAUUUUAUGAACCCUUCAAAUACAAUCGUAAACAAACCUAAUUUUGUACUUCGGUGUACUUUAAAUAGCUAUGAGAGGUGAUACGAACAGGCGACAGUAAAUUUGAGUUCAGAAUCAGGGCACGAAGGUUCAUGUUUAUCCUUCGCUGCAGAUCAACAAAACUUUCUAAACUACCAGCUCCACUGCCUGAGAAACACAUCAAUUAGAGUGCGCCUGCAGAAAGUCUGCCAAGGUUUAGUUCCUGAGUCUGUUGAAUGUUAAACAUGUUCGGAGAUUUAUUUUUCUUUUAGCCAUGCAACAUUUAAAGACAAAAUAUAUAUACUGCUGUUAAUAUAAAAUGCUGACUGUGGUCCAGUGUAAACAGUGUUGUCCCGGUUAUAAUUCAAAACUCCGCCAACAUCCUCAAAACAUCAGUACAAGUGCACUGCAACAUGCGAAGCAGUGACUGUAUGUAAUUGACGUUGUGCGAUACAUUUCAACCGACAACUAGGGCGUUUCUGCAGGUUUUGACUUUAGCAAUAAAUCUGUUCCGUUUCUGACACGGAUAAGGAAUGGUACAUUAGCAAAUUUAUUAGCAAAUCAAUUUAAAGCUUUUCAAACUAAACCCCUCCUCAGCAGCGCACCGGGCGAUACUUUGUGAUUAAUAUUGAAAGGAAACAUAACGGGACACGCAUCCCAAUGACAUCCCUUCUCUCCCGUGACAUUUCAGUUUGUUUGUGGCUCCGCCUGCUGCCGCUCGUUCACACGACUUCAGCUCCCAGAGCAGGUUUAAGAAGUGUUUGUAGGAUUAAAUCUCCCAUCUGCACAAACUGCAUUCUGCCUCCUCCAUCCAACCAUCUUCCUCCUCCUUCCCUGUAUCCCUACAAUCACCCCAUCUUUGCUCACAAAUCCCCCCAUUCAACCCUCUUUCUGGUGAUCAGCCUUCUUUCUGUCCGCCACGUGACACAUUAGAGGCAUAGGAUGAUCCUUUCAAACAUAUAAAGGACAAAAAUGGUCGUCUGCAGCUUUAAGGACAGAUAAUGACAGGCACGUGUUUUGGAAGUGUGGCUGUGUGUGAGGAGGGGAAGAUGUUGUUUUGCUCUGGUCUGAGUGAGGGAUAAGAGGAGAGAGGUGGAUUAAAAGAAGAAAAAAAACGAGAGGAGGGAGAGGUUUGCUGAAUCAAAGCCAGAGAGGCAGAAGGGGAAAAGUACAACUUGUUCUUUCCCUUGUGUUCUGUGAGCCUGCCUGUCCACACAGUCACUGUUAAUAACAGGCAGCUAAUAUAAACAACACGUCCCUUCACUUCUCUCUCUCUCUGCCUCCAUCAUCUCCAUCUCUGACUCGUUCCCUUUCUCUCCUCACGGCUGGCUCUCCCAGUAUUUCCUUAAUGCUCCGUAACAAUUAGAUCAGGAAACAGAGAAGAUUCAAGGUGAAAUUCACAUUAGUGACACGGACAGACCGGAAAACAAGCCAGUUGUGAUUGGUUAGCGGAUACUUUAACAACCUUCAUUACAAUGCAGUCCAACAGUGUUCAGACAGUGUCUGCAGAUCUCAUGAACAGAUUCCAAAACUAGCAUUGCAGCCAGCAUUAAUAUAGUUGGGCUCAAUUUUAACACAGUCCAGACACAGGAAGGUUGGACCAGAACCAGAAUUGUAUCAGGUUUUGAGAUCAAAACGGAACACAAAUGUGGUUAAAAUUCACAGAGAACGGGAAAUGAUAUAAAGUCAGGUCUGUACAGACAUCAUCGGCUGUUGGUGUUGUAGACUUGGUGUUUUAGACUUGUGCCUUGAAGACUGAGUAGUCAUGGAUGUGAAGUCCACAUCAUGUACAACUAGCUGGAGACCUAACUCAGACUUGAGUGGAAUUAAUAAUAAUGAUUUGGACUUUUCAAUCUGUUUUCUUCACUGCUUAAACUUAAAGUUUAUCUUUUGAGAGAUCAACUUAGACUUGACCUAAAAAAAUCUUUUAAAGACUCGGAAUUGGACUUGAAACUAAGAGACAAGAUUCAACCUUAAGUUGAGUUUUACACUCUCAUUCUGAUUACUGGACUCAAAUGGACUCAGCUUGGCCAGAACUUUAAUGACUUGGACUUAGAAUCCGACUCAAUGCCCAGACUGAAACCUGGUUGUAAAUGGAAGACUGUAUCGAUGUACCUACUCCAUAACGUAUUAUUAAAUGCUGCAUGGACUUUAUUAAAUGUUUGUUGAGCGCCUGCAGGCCAUACAUAAUUUAGUUGGCGGGCCGCAUUUGGCCCCCGGGCCUUGAGUUUGACACAUGUGGCCUAACUUUUCUUUAUAAUUAACAAAAAAUUCAACAUUGUGUCUGGGUAUUUGACUUCACAGAAAAAGUUUAAAUUAAUGGCUUUUCUUUUGGAUGGAAUAUCACAUUACUUUUUAUGUUUUUUAUUUUCAUAGACCGUGCCACAGAUUUAAUAUAUUUGAUGUAACUUUAUAUGAAACCUGGACGGAACAUUGCCUAAAGGCACCUUUAAGUUUCCCACUUAUAAUCUUAGCGAAUUAUUCAAACCUCCCUCACAUCUGUUUUUACCAUCAAACUCCUGGGAGGGUUGGACUCCAUGCAGAUGUAAUAUGUACAUGUACAUGACCACAAACUAGAAUUCUGUUUGUACAACGGUGGGGCCAGAGGUUAGUAAGAGUUUAUGGUGACAGUUUUAGGCCUUUAUUCACUUAUUUUGAUCCCUUUCUAAAGUUGUCAAAAUGUAAUAAUUUUAAUUUGAUAAUCACAUCCCUAGCUGUGAAUUAAUCACAAUGACUGAUUGUGAUUGUAAAUAAUCACAAUCUUGAUUAAUCAAAAAUAAACCCGCAUUCCAAAAUAUGAAAAAAGUGCAUUACUGGAACAGAGAGUGAAAGAACAGAAGGUAGAUGUAUGUGUUAGCAUUAGCAUCACAGAGAGGUUGUAUUUGAUUUUAUAUUUCUGGAUAUAUUGUCUCCCGACUGGUAGAGCUGUCAGUAACACAUGUCGGUGUCGACUCCUGACGUGUGUCAAGUGUUGCGUCGUGCUGUUAUUCUCCCCCUUCUUUUAGUCUCUGAUUUAGACUAGAGUUCUGACAACAAACUCCAUGUACUCACACACUGGUUAUGUUGAAGUGUUUAUGUCAGUUAUGACAAAGCUCUUCAGAAAAGAGUCCGUACUCUUGGACUGUUGAGCCAAACAAAAACUGUAUUCCUAUGUUUGAUGAGACGUUCUCAUCGAUCGGAUGAAGGUCGGCCGUUAGUCCCCAGGUAUUCCCUUCUCUACAUCUUUUCACCCUCUGCUCUUUUUCCUUUCCAUCUCUCCAAACUUCUGAAUCUUAAAUAUUUUUCGGUUCGAUAUAUAAAAAAAAAAAAUUACAGAAAUUUUGUAGAAUAGUUCUGGUUUGUCAGUAAUCACUAACCGACGUCGUCCUCGUUGUUUUUACCUGAUUUGACAGCUUCUCUCGGCUUUCUCCUCAACACAGUGUCCGUUCUGCGUCUCUUAUUGGUCACAUUCAGGCACUGUUCGUAUAUCAGUCAGCAUCGUCCAGUCAGAGCAGAGCUUCUCUUCCUCCUGUCUCUUUUUGCCCUUAGACAAAUGGUUCAAACCUGUGCUCCCGUGUCCACCUCCUCUUCCGCUCUGCUCCCGUUCUUCAGUUCAGUAAUAUGAAUGUUGCAGGAGUUGAUCCUUCUGUGUUCUUUGUUUCAAAGAAUGUUGUGCCAUUUGUUAAUAGCAAAGAAAACUAUUGAACAUAUAUGAAAAAGAAGAGCUAUUUUAAAUUAUUUUUGGGCUUUUUUUUUUGGCUAUAUUUAUUUUCUUGUAUUAGAAUCUUCUUUGUAGGAGGGGGGAAAAAGUCAAAAUGUAUUUUUCAUUAGUGCGAGAAAAAAAACUAUUUUCUUCCUUUUUGUACAAUUUCCAAUGUUUUGAAAGAGCGAGAGUUUUGAAAAGCAAUAUGAUGACAUUGAUGACAUCAAUGAUGAUGAUGAUGAUGAUGAUGAUUCCCGUGACUAUCUGCAUGCUGUUUCUGUUGCCUUAACAAUGGCUGCAUUUCAUUUUGACCCAACCACCAAUCGACAUGAUCCUCCCACUCACUUUCUGACCCUGACCUCUCAUCUCCUGCCCUUAUGUUACCAGAGUCCUAGUCCCAUCUGAUCCAGUCCAGACCAAUCCAGUCCUGUGCAGUCAAUAAAGCAGUGCUUGCUGUGUAAACAAAACUCUCCGCUUCUUAUCUUUAUUCAGCAUCACUGCGGUCUCUCUGGUCUUUAACGGAGAUUUAGAAAUCUACAGUACUCUAUAUGUAGCAAAGCCUCUGGGAUUAUUCAGCUGCCGCAACUAGUAAACCAUGUACAGGGCCUUGACCUUUUGAACUUUCCCACAGUGUCCAAUCGUAACUACAAACGUACAAACGAUACAUAUUAAAAACCAGGCAGUCAUUUGGAGAAUUCGGGAUUAUUGGCAAGUAUUUGUAAAAAGAGAAUGUAGUGCUAUAUCUCCCCUGCAGGGGGCACUAUUAACAACUGUGAUUUCAUGCACUGAUUCACCAACAUAAAAAGAAAGAAAUGUCUUUGUAAGAGAUAUGUACUCGUUAAUAUUUUUGAGAUUCAAAACUUGUAGUAGUGCGACUUCUCUGGCGAUGUCUUGCUCGUUCCGUCCAGUCUUUGCACAACAACGAGGAGACAGGAGUGACACCUGUAAUAUGUGGAUUGUCUUUUAUAUUUCUCUUCCCAACAGGAUUUUUUGGGGUCUCGUCCGUUGGCUCUCUACAAGCUACAAUCACGACAUAAUCAGAAGGGCCAAUUCUGCAGCUUCAGUGUUGGCCAGAGAGAAGAGAGAAAAAAAUUGGCCUGAAGAAGAAGCAGAAGGAUGCAGGGAUCCAACCGCAGGCGAAUCUCAAGGAGAGGUUGUCUCUGAACGCCAAAGUUUCAGAUGACUGAAGCUACUCUAUGGCUUUAUACUCAGACCCACGGGUGUCACAUCGAGGAAGGCAACCCAGGCAAUAGACUUGGCCCCAGGCUGAAGGGUGCUCCAGAAGACGGCUGACAUUGGUCACUGUGGGGACAGUGUUCCUUAUGUUACAGGCCUCUCCCUCACCUUUCCAACCACAGGUAAGACUUCUAUUUUUGUGUGUCAUCUGAAAAAACAUCUCCAUUCAUUUGUGGUACCCAAGGUAGGGGGCAGAUUUCCCGGGGGGGUUACAGAGCUAUCGCUGUGAACUUGAGUUCGUUUACAUUUUUCUAGGGUGUCCUAGCUCCUUGAUAACUUGUCUCAAUGCAGUUUUUAAACUUAAUACCUUUGCUUAUUGAUCACAGAAUAUCUCUAGGAUAAUCCCCCGUUUAAUCUUCAUUAACAAUCUUAACUUUUUUUGAUGCAGAUCACUGGUAUGUGUUGUCUCAAUAUAUCAGUUGAUCGUUGGGAGGUAAUAAGUUUGACUUUUUUGGACCUUUUUGCCAAGUAAUUAAGUCUUACUGUAUGCUGAUAAAGGCUAAAAAUCCAAUUAGCUGAAUAAAAGCAGUUGAAAGAUAAGAUGAAUCAACUUUUCUAAACUGUGAACUAGUAAUUUUAAGUAUAUCUGUGUCAAAUAACAAGUGGUAAUAACUAACCACUUUGUAUCUGUAUUCUCAGAUGGUAAAAUUGAUUACUACUCACUAAAUAGAAUAUGACACAUCAGCCUGAAUUAUUAAUAUUAAAGCCUGUAAUUCAUUGCAAACAUUUAUUACAUAUUUGAUGCAAACAACAGCGAAUCCACCCUUAAUGGUACAGUUUUUCACUGAGUCAUGAGUGAAUGAAGACACAGACAGGGGGACAGAGAAAGUAUGUAUUAUGCGCAUUUCCAUUGUUUUCACUUUUUUCUUAAAAAAAGGGGGGAAAAAGUAUGACAAUCACCUCUAGUUGUAAAUUUUGGCAUCAUCUUCCCUAGUUGUUAUCUAAAAUAAUGGAUUUUAAAAUAAAAAAAAAAA